UCUCCGUCAGUAGACCGGAGCUCGCGUCUCCUCACGCUCGUCGUUCAGCGCUCUGGCGCAAGGGUUGUUGCUGUGGGGUUGGAAGCAGGUCUGUGGUGGUGGCGGCUGUGAGGGGAAUUUCCCUCACGUAGUCUCUGUCCGAGUCCGCGCAGGGAGCCCCUAGCGCGCAGGGCACCAUGAGGCCCAACCUGGGCACGAUGGAGUCCUGAACUGGUGAAACCUGUGGUGCCUCCCCUUGUGGGCCUGAGCCAGAGGUGAAAGUAGGCCAGUACGGAGGACCGGUACACUGUGGGACUAGAGACCAUCUUUAUCAUCAGGGCAGGUCUACACUACAGCAGGAAUCGAAGCUCUGAGAUCAAUCUACCGGAAGUUGAUUUAGCAGGUCUAGUAAAGACCCACCAGAUCGCUCUCUAGUCAACCCCUGUAUUCUACUCCCAAUGAGAAGAGUAAGCUUAAAACAAGCCCAGGCAAAAAUCUCCAGGAGCAGAGGGGUAGUUCACACCUCAUCAGGGCAUGUAUGGGACAAACCCAGCCCAGCCUCACAGGAACAAAGGACACUGGCUUCUGCAGAAACAAAGGAUCUGUUGGACUCUCCCACUGAUCUUCCUUUGGUCACUUUGGGACUACAAUGAGACACCACCAUCAAGUGACUGAAGCGUUGAUCAAAGGAGAGAGUCUGGCUGAAGGGCAACCAGCCAGCCUGUGUCCUUAAAAGUGAAAGAAGAGCUCUGCAAUCAAUGUCUAAAUAUAGAUUGGGAGCAGACUGCAAGCUCAGGCAAGAGACAACAUGGAACUGGAUGUGAUUCUUGAGCCUGAUGUUCUUUGCUGGGAAGAGGACUUUACCUAUAGAUAACCUAGUGCUUUGAUACUGUGAAAUGUGAGUUGGAGUUUGCUUAACUCACACUGUGGGAAGGAAUGGGCAUUUAAGUACUUUACUGGUCAGCCUGUUGUACAUUCUUGUUUCCGAGAUGAUGGUGCUGUAAUACCUGUUCAAUUCUGAUUGAUUAAUUUGGGCGACACUGUGAAUAUUAAUGCUUUUGAGAGUGAAGGACUGAUAUCACUAGCUGCAACCUGGCAUUAGAUAGGCCAGCACUGGGUAAUCUCCUCACACACAGCUUUGCCAGUAAUCUCAUUCAUGACAGUAGCCCCCACUAUGCCAGUUCUAUGAUCCCCCAUACUUCUGCCAGUGCUCCUCAUUCUUGACUUGUGACUUCUAUUGCGAGAAUCCUGGGUCUCUGAGUAAAAACUGGAGAUCAGGCCAAAGGAUUUGAUGUUUUGAAACUUGAAGAAACGUCCUCAGGGGACAAUGAUGCAGCCAACCCAACCCUUGUGUCCCAUGCCUUACACUUAGCUAGAUAUAUGAUCUUCUACAUAAAUUAGCUUAUUGUGGAGGUCCUCAUUAGCCAUGGCCAGCUUCCUGGCAAACAAUAUGUCAGCAGGUGUCAUUUAGUGCAUUUAACUUGUAUAAUGUAUUGUCAUGUUUGAUGGUUGGAAAUUGGGGGGGAGACACCUCAGUACUAACACUGUAAUGCCUAAUAAAGCAAGUUUCUGACAUGUAGUUCAA